rnacentral:rRNA from 1 species
UACGGAGGGUGCAAGCGUUAUCCGGAUUCACUGGGUUUAAAGGGUGCGUAGGUGGGCAGGUAAGUCAGUGGUGAAAUCUCCGGGCUUAACUCGGAAACUGCCAUUGAUACUAUCUGUCUUGAAUACCGUGGAGGUUAGCGGAAUAUGUCAUGUAGCGGUGAAAUGCUUAGAUAUGACAUAGAACACCAAUUGCGAAGGCAGCUCACUACACGGUAAUUGACACUGAGGCACGAAAGCGUGGGGAUCAAACAGG